UAUGCCUGUUCAACUAUGUUUGAUGAUGUUUGUAACACAUACAAUUUCUUCUGCUCAUUGGAUGUAUAUUUUCAUUUUACGAUAAUAUUUUACGAAGGAAUAAAGAGAAAGACCCUGUUGAUACUUGCGCCACCAGACGUCAAAUGACACACACACACACACUCAAAGCUGAAGGUCGUUCUAUAAAACGGCAGGAUUAAACUUUGGUUACAAUGUUACUGAGAGUGAUCGAAAUCUCUUUCCAAGUGGUGAAAGAUGCAAAGAAAGUUUUCAUAUUUUUGCUCUAGUAGGAAGUAUCGCUCCUAGGAAUACGUUUAAAGUGAUGGAAUAGCAAACAACCAGCAAACGGUUUGCAAGGUGAAAGAUGCGAGACAUGCGCGUUUGUUGGCUACAGUCCAACUAACUCUGACCUUCAAAGGGCACAGUUGAAGAAAUGUUAUUUUAUGAAACAAGAAAUAAAGCCAGCAUGUAAAAUAAUAGAAGACAUUUAACGUUUGUGUAAAUUAAUUUUAAACAUAUAGAUAGAUGUGAAGAGACAUAUAAAGAUAACCUUAUCAUCAUCAACCAGCAGAAGCACGCUAUUACUGCUGGUGCCAUCUAUCGGUGGGGCCACACAAGCUUUAAACUUACCUUGCCGAAAUGAAGCUGCCGCAUAUACAGUGUUCCGAACAUGUGACGGUCGAUUAAUCGACACGAAGCACCGUUUGGCUUAAGUCGCAUUAAUAUUAUUUAUUUUUUCCUCAUUUUAUUAUUAUAUAUAACAAAACAUUGUACAAUUAAUCUGAGAACGCUUGCGGUUGAGAUUACACGCGACAGGGUAAAACAUUACACCUUUCGUCCGUUUGUUAAAGGCUUUGUUUUCAUCUUGAAGGCACAACAAAGGCACGGGAAACGGUUAGCCCCUGUUCCGGACUUUUCUUCUCUUCGUCUUCUUCGUCUCACUUCUAAAAUAGUUUACCUCUGCAUGUUCUCGUUUUUUUUUUAAUUUGUUGUUUAUUUGUUUUUCUAUUCUUUUUUUUUUACUAGCUGCGAUUAAUAACUUACUAAGGUUAUUUCAGAACGGUGUUAUUACUUUAUGGCCACAAUGGCAGC